rnacentral:rRNA from 1 species
UACGAAGGGUGCAAGCGUUACUCGGAAUUACUGGGCGUAAAGCGUGCGCAGGCGGUUUUGUAAGCCAGAUGUGAAAUCCCCGGGCUCAACCUGGGAACUGCAUUUGGGACUGCAAGGCUGGAGUACGGCAGAGGGAGGUGGAAUUCCACGUGUAGCAGUGAAAUGCGUAGAGAUGUGGAGGAACACCGAUGGCGAAGGCAGCCUCCUGGGCUAGUACUGACGCUCAUGCACGAAAGCGUGGGGAGCAAACAGG